rnacentral:rRNA from 1 species
GACGAACGCUGGCGGCGUGCUUAACACAUGCAAGUCGAACGGAAAGGCCCUGCUUUUGUUGGGUGCUCGAGUGGCGAACGGGUGAGUAACACGUGAGUAACCUGCCCUUUACUUUGGGAUAACUUCAGGAAACUGGGGCUAAUACCGGAUAGUAGCUCCUGCUGCAUGGUGGGGGUUGGAAAGUUUCGGCGGUUGGGGUUGGACUCGCGGCUUAUCAGCUUGUUGGUGGGGUAGUGGCUUACCCAGGCGUUGACGGGUAGCCGGACUGAGAGGGUGACCGGCCACAUUGGGACUGAGAUACGGCCCAGACUGAUACGGGAGGCAGCAGUGGGGAAUAUUGCACAAUGGGCGGAAGCCUGAUGCAGCAACGCCGCGUGCGAGAUGACGGCCUUCGGGGUGUAAACCGCUUUCGCCUGUGACGAAGCGUGAGUGACGGUAAUGGGUAAAGAAGCACCGGCUAACUACGUG